rnacentral:rRNA from 1 species
AUUGGGGCGUGACUAAUACAUGCAGUCGAGCGGACAGAAGGGAGCUUGCUCCCGGAUGUUAGCGGCGGACGGGUGAGUAACACGUGGGUAACCUGCCUGUAAGACUGGGAUAACUCCGGGAAACCGGAGCUAAUACCGGAUAGUUCCUUGAACCGCAUGGUUCAAGGAUGAAAGACGGUUUCGGCUGUCACUUACAGAUGGACCCGCGGCGCAUUAGCUAGUUGGUGAGGUAACGGCUCACCAAGGCGACGAUGCGUAGCCGACCUGAGAGGGUGAUCGGCCACACUGGGACUGAGACACGGCCCAGACUCCUACGGGAGGCAGCAGUAGGGAAUCUUCCGCAAUGGACGAAAGUCUGACGGAGCAACGCCGCGUGAGUGAUGAAGGUUUUCGGAUCGUAAAGCUCUGUUGUUAGGGAAGAACAAGUGCAAGAGUAACUGCUUGCACCUUGACGGUACCUAACCAGAAAGCCACGGCUAACUACGUGCCAGCAGCCGCGGUAAUACGUAGGUGGCAAGCGUUGUCCGGAAUUAUUGGGCGUAAAGGGCUCGCAGGCGGUUUCUUAAGUCUGAUGUGAAAGCCCCCGGCUCAACCGGGGAGGGUCAUUGGAAACUGGGAAACUUGAGUGCAGAAGAGGAGAGUGGAAUUCCACGUGUAGCGGUGAAAUGCGUAGAGAUGUGGAGGAACACCAGUGGCGAAGGCGACUCUCUGGUCUGUAACUGACGCUGAGGAGCGAAAGCGUGGGGAGCGAACAGGAUUAGAUACCUUUUGUAGUCCA